CCAAGGGUAUGGCUGUUCGCCAUUUAAAGUGGUACGCGAGCUGGGUUUAGAACGUCGUGAGACAGUUCGGUCCCUAUCUGCCGUGGGCGCUGGAGAACUGAGGGGGGCUGCUCCUAGUACGAGAGGACCGGAGUGGACGCAUCACUGGUGUUCGGGUUGUCAUGCCAAUGGCACUGCCCGGUAGCUAAAUGCGGAAGAGAUAAGUGCUGAAAGCAUCUAAGCACGAAACUUGCCCCGAGAUGAGUUCUCCCUGACUCCUUGAGAGUCCUGAAGGAACGUUGAAGACGACGACGUUGAUAGGCCGGGUGUGUAAGCGCAGCGAUGCGUUGAGCUAACCGGUACUAAUGAACCGUGAGGCUUAACCUUACAACGCCGAAG
rnacentral:rRNA from 1 species